rnacentral:lncRNA from 1 species
GGAGUGUGACGGGGACAGCGAUGCCCGCUCAGCUCCCUCGCCACCUGGCACUUUACCUGCUUGUUCGGACCCAGUACUCAAAACCGUCGCAAAUGGGUUUGUCAAUUUAUAGUUCAAGAAACUGAGGUGGAGAGCUGCAUUUGUGGCCGGUGUUAUGCAUUCAGAGCCCACACGUUGAAUCACCAAUCUGGACGAUACAGAGCCAGUGUGAGUAGCUGAGAGCCAUGCAUCACAUCCCUAAAACCAGGUGCCCGAGUGGACCCGAGGUUUGGAAGCGAUCCCCGUCAAAAGGGAAGCAAGCGUGGGUCAAGAGCACCCCGUGACGAGUGUCUUGCUGUGUUCUGUGCUGGUCAGACUUGCCUGGAGUCUUGCAUUCAGUUCUCAGCGUCGCCGUUGCAGGUGCUCAUAGAUUGACUCUGUGCUUUUCUGGGAAGCACACAGGAGUUCUUUGGCCAAGUCUCAUCUCUUCUGAAACCAGCGAUGAGACUUCUGGCGAAACCUCUCAUCCCUCUGAGCCUGUUUCUUCAUCUGGAAGGCAGUCAGUAGUCGUUCACGGUUGCUGCCAAGACAGACUGGAUGUGUCCGUGCGAAAGGGCUUUGUCAGCAGUAAAGUCAUCUGUAGAUGUGGGGGCGAUGUUUGUUUCAAUUGUUUCGUGUUUCAGGAGAAACCUCUUGGCACAGGGCAUUGGGUCUCACGACCGUGUCCAGUUCAGGAAAUGUUCGCGAGCCUGGACAUACUCCCUGGAGAAGGGAGGUCGGGGGCAGCUGGUAGCCGUCUUCAGUAGACCUGCCGUGCGAAACCGGGACCUUGGAGGCUGCCUUGGGCUGGAGGAAGCCCUCCAGGCCUGCCCCAAACACGUUCUGCUGUCCAAAGUCAGUAGGGGAAGCUGCCUCGACUUUCCCAGGUCCAAGAGCUGCUCCCUGCCACUGAGGCUGAAGCGGAAGGUGGGCGGUCAGGGGCGGGGCCGUGGGACUGCACCCGGGGAGCAGAGGACAGCUCUCCUAACGUGGCCGCGUUCCGUCCCAUAGUCGUUCAGAUUGUGCCCCUUCAGCUCCGACACAGGCUGAGCAGCUGUGAGAUACGUGGCUGAAGAUGCUGCUCACUGGUGGGUCGGGUCAGAAGAGGCACAGAGAACAGGUAUCUGUCUGAGGUGGAUCUGGUUAAUAACUACUUUGGCCCUUGGGAUAAUCCAUAGUUUAAGCAGUAGUUCUUUUAAUAUUUUAAGAAAAAUUUUCCUCACGUCUGAAUGCCAUGUGUAUAGUACCAAUUUUGAGGGCUGGGGAGGGAGAAUUGCCCUGAGAAAAGCAGCCCAUUUUCUCAUCACCCUUUUGGCUUUCACGUGACUUCCUGGCAGUCUCCCCUGUCGCAGGAGAAGCUGGAGGACUCCGGCCCCCAUGGUGGGCCAGACCAGGAACAGAGUGGGCUUUCUGCACGAGCCAUUCCCCGCAUCUCCCUGCCAAGGUUCAGUCCUAAUGCAUCUUGAAAGACUGCUGUGCAAAGUGUUCACACGCAGUCUCCCGUGGACCCAUUUCACAGAGCGGCACGUCACAACUUCUGAAGGAGCUAGUGGAACCACCACGGCAUCGAGCUACAGCUUGGGGCCCACGUCCCUCGAGUGGCAAUGUUCUCAGGCAGAGGGUUCAGAGGGAUUUGAAGAUGGGCAAGUGCACUUUCCUGACCUUUUGAAGAUCCUCUGAGUCACUUUCACUCUGAGCCUCUGCUGGUGUUGAAUGAAUCCUCCGUGCAGUUUACAGAAAGGGAAGAGCCAUCUGGCAGGCAGCGAAGUUCAGACUCCUCACGGCCUCUCCUGUGUUGAGUAACAUGACUUGUGAGUUAUCUAUUAACAAUUUUCUGAAACACACUUUUCUUGAAGCCUAGAACUUGCUCACAAGUGGCCAAAAUUUGAGUGCUUUGAAAAUAUAAGAAAUGUGCGCCAUGCCAUAAAACACAAGGAAUGAGCCCACAUCUGACAUGGUGGAAAGAAAUUCUAAUUCUUGGAGCGAUGUGAUGGGUAUAGUUAGUCUUCAUACCGCUUAGGGUCUGUCUUGGAGCUGGCAGAACACCAGCAGGGGUCUGCACAUGUCACAGAAAGGUGCUCCCUUUGUCUCUGGUCCUCGUGGGGGUGUCUGUGUGACUCGUGACUGUCAAACUCCUCUUCUGAAACGACUGGCGGGUGUCCGUCCUGGCUCUUCCAUGCGCUGGCACUCCCGAGUCCAGGGAGAGUGUGUGGUCUCCCAUAUGCUACGUGUGCAUUGAAAAACGUUUGCAUCUGUAGAUAUGAAAAUGUAUGUUGAAUUUCCUGAAAGACUCGACAGACCUGACAUUUUUAAUUAUCUCCAGUUUCCCCCAGGAAUAAGCUAGUCUUAGAAAGUGAGCAUGAGGAGCAGUGUCGUGGUUAAGGGAACCGAGGACAGGAGCCGAGUCCUGGCCUGGGCCAGGCCCAGCUGCUCUUGCUCCAUGACCCUUCAGCGCAUGCAGAAUGGAGGCUGCAUCUGGAAGAAGAAAGACCCCAUCUUGUCUGUCCAUCAAACCUGAGGACAGAGAUUCCCCAGGCUGCUGGCCCUGAAGAAGUGUGUGCUCUGAGGACAGGCUGGGGAAACCGACACUUGCUGCUCCAGCUGAGGCUGCCCCUGCCCGGGCCUGAGGUUAGCUUGGUCUGUGGAGGAUUCAACCCCCCCGUGGCUAAGCUAAUAGCCAUCAAUCAAAUCAACUCCAUCCAUCAAUGCAGAAUUCAAGUAGUAAAAAUCAAAAGUUAAUUAUUGAAAUCUCAGCAUUUAUAAGUGUUUUGUGUUUUAGGAAAAGUAUAAACUUUUCUUCCACGUUGUUAACUUCAUGUUCCACUGUUGGACAUUAAGACUAUGAUGACGAAACAGUUUAUUAAUUUGAACUUGUCAAAUCUUGAACAGGAUUUUUCAAGUACAAUGAGUUUGCUAGUGA